UUAAUAGUAAAUAAAUUCUCCUGCAGAUGAUUUACAAAUAAAUAAAUGUUUAAAACUAACACUGUAAAUGAGGCCCAGUGGGUGUGUUAUUGGUGUUGAGUUAAUCACACUCACUGGCACAUGGUGUGUGUUAAGUUACUAAUAAACACUGUGUGUGUGUGUGUGUGUGUGUGUGUGUGUGUGUUGGGUACAGAUCAGAGCAAAAGUCAGGAGCCUCCUCUACCAGUGUGGUCGCUGCACUGAUUGUGAUAAUCCCGUACCUGUGGAAAAAAUAUCACAGUAACCGAAGAGAUGAUAGGCCCAGGAAAGGAGCAGGAGAACCUCAGAGCUCUUAUGGCACAAUAAAUAUGAACCUAAUGGAGAACCAAAGAAUGCUAAGACAGAGUGAGAAUGAAAGUGACGUAACAGUAAUGUAGUAACAGAGGGAAGAGACUUGUAACUACAUACAGCAUGAUGCUGGAACAAUGAGAGAUCAAAACACAAAUUGCAGCACAGGAAUAAAUGACAUGUAUCUGGAUCUACAGCUUUCUCCGUCCCUUUGUGCUUCACAACAACUGAUGAAUAUGACCUGACUACAGAAUCUGCUCCAAUCCUCACACAAGUUGUCAGGUCUAGACCUGACUACUGCAGCUGUCUUUUGGAAUCAGACCCUGGUUUAGAUGUCCACACCUACACACCACAUCAGGCCUUCACACUCAUGGAAUAUAGUCUGUCCUUCUCUGGGAUCUGCUUCAGUCCUGGUUCCUCAGAAGUGUGAUGUGUCCACCUUCUCUAUGAACAGAACCUUUUUCACAAGUGAACCUCCUCCAAGAACAGAAUCUGUUCAGAAGGCAUCAAUAUCACAUGUAUCUCUCUGCACUGACAGUUAUUAUUUCCAGGUGCUAUGUUUAAUGAUAGUCAGAAGAACUGCAGUAUUGAUUUGCAGUGAUAUUUAUUAUAAGGGGAUGAGUGGAGCCAAACCACAGCAGCAACAGAACUACAGCUGAAUUACAGCUGCUUUUCUGUGUUGGGACAAGAGCUGUGUUUUAACUCAUGACUGACCUGGACAGCAAACCAAAAUGAUGGUUGGAGAAGGGGACAAUCUUGGAGAAGUUGCUUUAUAUAAGGACAUUCGCUAAAUAAAAUGACUUUAAAUGUCUGCUGUAAAACAGCAAAAAAAUGUAAUUGAUUCAUGUUUACAGCUAAAGCGCUGCUGCUGUACAGCAAGACACACCACUGGAUGUAUGUUACAUUAAUAUUAGAGAGUUCGUAAGACCUAAAAAACUGACAUUCACUGAAGGUACCAUUACACCUGAGCCAGUACACCUGCAAACACUAACUUAGUAAUACAGGUGGAAAAAAUUGCCAGUUCAGUUCUAUAAUGGAUAUAAAAAAGUCUACACACACCCUUGCUACUGAAGUACAUAUGCUGCACUUGCCUUGUCUCCACAGAGAUGUUUGCAACACCUCCACUCUCUGUGUAAGGCAUCACAACCAAUCGAGAACUUGUUUGACCCUGGUUAAAUGGCACAAUCCCUACUCUCAGACUGGCCUGUAGAAAAGUUUAAUUUUCUAUGAAAUCCUAAGGGACACCACAGCUUAAUUUCAGAGAACUGUGAGCAUCACUAGGUCUAAGAAUUAGUGUUGAUCAGGAGUCUAAUGGCUUGUGAAUAGAAGCAUUCUCCUUGAUGUUAUUCCCCACAUUUUGUAAAGCAGAUUUUUUAUGUGGUUGAAAAUAGUCUUCUAAUAAUUAUUAAAUGCCUUGAAAUUGGUUUUGUUCCUGAUCGUCUGAAACAAGAUGCAGCUCAUCCUCUUUUUAAAAGGCCAAUUAUUUAUCUAAAUUUAGACCUAAUUCCAACUGCUCUUUUAUUUUAAAAUAAAAGUGAAAACAACAGAAAACUACAAAGUGUCUUAAAUGAAAAUAAGAGAUUGUAAGAAAACAGUCGUGUUUGAGCCUUCUGAAGCUCGUAGAACCCUAAAUCUGAAAUUUGGUGACUUUCUGGUAGUCUUAAUUAAUAGUGCUCUUAAAUUUGACAAACAGAUUAGUUCUUUUGUCAAAUCUAGUUCUUUUUAUUUCUUUUUAUUGAAUCUUGUCCAAAGUGAUUUAUUCCUGUAAUUCUUAUUAAAGGAGGAAAAGGUGGAUUUUACAUCACAAAAAACUGCCAAUUUAAUAGGGAUGUGUAGACUUUUAUAUGCAUUGUAUUUAUACAGUCGAGAGUACUAGAACAGCAAGACAAAUCCUUUGGGUUUUGCUAUACUUGAAGUCUGAACAAAACAUAACUAUCUGAGAAAAGACCAGAGUUUCAGCUUACAUUUCCUGAUAAUUUCAUCUAGAUGGAAAAUAGCAAUGUAGUUAUCACAGAUUUCACCAGCAACACCUAACUGCCUCAUUGUACAGGUACUGUGAAUGGAAAUGAAUUUUUAUAUGGUUUAUAUAUACUGCAAUAAUAAUAUUGCUAUUUCAUUUUAUAUUUAACAGAACAUCCUUUUAAACUUAACAAAACAAUAGUAAAAAUGUGUAUAUUUUUAAGUGUGUAUGAUGUUUGUAUGAUGUUUUUCAGUUCUUUUUUAUUGUUCAGUCUUGAACAGUUGCUCUGAAGUCAGAUUCUCAUAUUGACAAAUGAUGUGAAUGUAAAAAUGUAUGAAUGUAAAAAUUAAAAUAUCUUGUCAGACUUUA